GCGGUAGAGAGAAGCUUGCUUCUCUUGAGAGCGGCGGACGGGUGAGUAAUGCCUAGGAAUCUGCCUGGUAGUGGGGGAUAACGUUCGGAAACGGACGCUAAUACCGCAUACGUCCUACGGGAGAAAGCAGGGGACCUUCGGGCCUUGCGCUAUCAGAUGAGCCUAGGUCGGAUUAGCUAGUUGGUGGGGUAAUGGCUCACCAAGGCGACGAUCCGUAACUGGUCUGAGAGGAUGAUCAGUCACACUGGAACUGAGACACGGUCCAGACUCCUACGGGAGGCAGCAGUGGGGAAUAUUGGACAAUGGGCGAAAGCCUGAUCCAGCCAUGCCGCGUGUGUGAAGAAGGUCUUCGGAUUGUAAAGCACUUUAAGUUGGGAGGAAGGGCCGUUACCUAAUACGUGAUGGUUUUGACGUUACCGACAGAAUAAGCACCGGCUAACUCUGUGCCAGCAGCCGCGGUAAUACAGAGGGUGCAAGCGUUAAUCGGAAUUACUGGGCGUAAAGCGCGCGUAGGUGGUUUGUUAAGUUGGAUGUGAAAUCCCCGGGCUCAACCUGGGAACUGCAUUCAAAACUGACUGACUAGAGUAUGGUAGAGGGUGGUGGAAUUUCCUGUGUAGCGGUGAAAUGCGUAGAUAUAGGAAGGAACACCAGUGGCGAAGGCGACCACCUGGACUGAUACUGACACUGAGGUGCGAAAGCGUGGGGAGCAAACAGGAUUAGAUACCCUGGUAGUCCACGCCGUAAACGAUG
rnacentral:rRNA from 1 species